CGCACAGUCCGGUGCAAGUUAUUCCAGCCCCUCGCAGGUGCCGUGCUAGAGCGGGCAUCCAGCCUGGUAGGAGGAUGCCUGCGCAGCGCAUCUGGUCGCCGGUACGCCUCCGAGGACCAGGCUACCCAACUCCCGCUCUACGCACGGCUACCAUCAAGCCCCUGCACAGCCCAGUCUGCCCUGUACGAGCACUCCGCUCGUGCAGGGCUACUAGUUCCAUCGAGCCAAGGCGGGUUGUGCAGGAGGUAAGAUCUAGACCGGCUGUGCGCCUCCAUAGCCCUGGGUUUCCAGCUCCUGUCUCUCGUGCGGACCCGGAAGUGCGUCCACCCAGUCCGACUCGUCCUGUUCCCGCUCCCCGCACUAAACGGCAAGUGCGUAAACCCAGCCUCGCGAGUCAACAGUCGUCGGAGCUGCCCGCCAGUCAACAGUCGUCGGAGCUGCCCGCCAGUCAACAGUCGUCGGAGCUGCCCGCCAGUCAACAGUCGUCGGAGCUGCCCGCCAGUCAACAGUCGUCGGAGCUGCCCGCCAGUCAACAGUCGUCGGAGCUGCCCGCCAGUCAACAGUCGUCGGAGCUGCCGCCAGUCAACAGUCGUCGGAGCUGCCCGCCAGUCAACAGUCGUCGAGCUGCCCGCCAGUCAACAGUCGUCGGAGCUGCCCGUCAGUCAACAGUCGUCGGAGCUGCCCGUCAGUCAACAGUCGUCGGAGGCUGCCCGUCAGUCACAGUCGUCGGAGCUGCCCGUCAGUCAACAGUCGUCGGAGCUGCCCGUCAGUCAACAGUCGUCGGAGCUGCCCGUCAGUCAACAGUCGUCGGAGCUGCCCGUCAGUCAACAGUCGUCGGAGUGGUCAGACUGCGCUGAACUGCCGGAGUGGCCAGACUGCGCUGAACUGCGGAUAGUGGCCAGACUGCGCGGACUGCCGGAGUGGCCAGACUGCGCUGAACUGCCGGAGUGGCCAGACUGCGCUGAACUGCCGGAGUGGCCAGACUGCGCUGAACUGCCGGAGUGGCCAGACUGCGCUGAACUGCCGGAGUGGCCG
rnacentral:lncRNA from 1 species